rnacentral:tRNA from 1 species
GGGGUUGUGGCUCAGUGAUAGAGCGCUCACCUAACAUGUGUGAGGUACUGAGUUCGAUCCUCAGCACCA